UACGGAGGAUGCAAGCGUUAUCCGGAAUGAUUGGGCGUAAAGCGUCCGCAGGUGGCUGUGUAAGUCUGCUGUCAAAGAGCGAAGCUCAACUUCGUAAAGGCAGUGGAAACUACACGGCUAGAGUGCGUUCGGGGCAGAGGGAAUUCCUGGUGUAGCGGUGAAAUGCGUAGAGAUCAGGAAGAACACCGGUGGCGAAGGCGCUCUGCUAGGCCGUAACUGACACUGAGGGACGAAAGCUAGGGGAGCGAACAGG
rnacentral:rRNA from 1 species